GUGAGGUCGCACGGGGACGGGCUGAACAUGAUGUAAAUUCCGCGCGUCUGA
rnacentral:snoRNA from 1 species